CUUCAGAGCCAGAAUAAUUCCCCACCAAGGCCUUCACCUUUCUCCUCUAGGAAAAAAAAUUACUCACCAAUAGAACAGGUUGGAGCUGCCAGAACGAUGGUUAUCGCUGUGGGGACCCCGCCCCACCUGGAGACUAAGCUCUGGACCCGACACCCCAUCACCCUAGCCACCCCCCACAUCCCCUGCACCUUCAUGGAGAAGCCCUGAAACUCAGCUGGGUGGAGGAGGAGUGCCCUGCUAACCACUUAAAAGGGCCUGGGGAACAUUUCCAGCCUGCCAUGGGAAGCCUCGAGGUCGGAUGGAGAGAGGCUGAGUGCAGUUGUGAGGCUGAAGCAGAGAGAAUGCUACCAGACAUGAGAUGAGCUGGUUGGUAGGCAAACGGUUCUUCAAGGAGUCUUUGUAGCAGCUAGGAC
rnacentral:lncRNA from 12 species